AGAGUUUGAUCCUGGCUCAGGAUGAACGCUGGCGGCGUGCCUAAUACAUGCAAGUCGAACGCGAGCAGCAAUGCUCGAGUGGCGAACGGGUGAGUAAUACAUAAGUAACCUGCCCUAGACAGGGGGAUAACUGCUGGAAACGGCAGCUAAGACCGCAUAGGUAUGGACACUGCAUGGUGACCAUAUUAAAAGUGCCAAGGCACUGGUAGAGGAUGGACUUAUGGCGCAUUAGCUGGUUGGUGAGGUAACGGCUCACCAAGACGACGAUGCGUAGCCGACCUGAGAGGGUGACCGGCCACACUGGGACUGAGACACGGCCCAGACUCCUACGGGAGGCAGCAGUAGGGAAUUUUCGGCAAUGGGGGGAACCCUGACCGAGCAACGCCGCGUGAAGGAAGAAGGAAUUCGUUCUGUAAACUUCUGUUAUAAAGGAAGAACGGCGGAUAUAGGGAAUGAUAUCCGAGUGACGGUACUUUAUGAGAAAGCCACGGCUAACUACGUGCCAGCAGCCGCGGU
rnacentral:rRNA from 1 species